GACGAACGCUGGCGGCGUGCUUAACACAUGCAAGUCGAACGGAAAGGCCCUGCUUUUGUGGGGUGCUGGGGUGGCGAACGGGUGCGUAACACGUGAGUAACCUGCCCUUCACUUUGGGAUAACUUCACGAAACUGGGGUUAAUCCCGUAUAGGAUCUCCUGCUUCAUUGUGGGGAUUGGAAAGUUUCAGCGGUUGGGGAUGGACGCGCGGCUUAUCAGCUUGUUGGUGGGGUAGUGGCUGACCAAGGCUUUGAAGGGUCGCCGGCCUGUGAGGGGGGCCGGCGACAUGGGGACUGAGAGAGGGCGCAGACGCGGACAGUAGGCAGCAGUGGGGAAUAUUGCACAGUGGGCGCGAGCCGGAGGAGGCAACGCCGGGUGCGGGAUGACGGCCUUUGGGUAGUAAACCGCUUUCGCCUGUGACGAAGCGGGAGUGACGGUAACGGGUGAAGAAGCACCGGCUAACUACGUG
rnacentral:rRNA from 1 species